CACUGAAAAACCAGUUCUCAUUUGAUCACGAAAGUUAAGCAGUGUCAAGUCUGAUUAAUACUUAGAUGGGGGACCACAUAGGAACAUCAGGUGCUGUAA